GACAUCACUGGCAGGGAUAACUGCAAGAGGGAUAGGGCAUGUUUCUCCGCUCCACCUUCCUGUAAUCCAGGUGCAGAAGGUUCCUGCUAUUUUCUUUCCACAAGAGGAGUAAGCGGAAAUGCAGAUAAUUUUACUUUUGAGCUGAGUGGCGAGACAGAUGGUUACAUUGGAGCUGGCCUCUCUCGAGACAGCAGUGGUCAAGGUGCCACCGUCUAUUCUUGUGCCAAAUUCAAUGGUGCACUGAGGUUAAUUCGUUCCACACUGAACAAUCAAAUAUUGAUGCAGGAUAAUACAUUUAUCCCUGGAAGCUUCCAAGGCUCAGUCAUUGGUAGAAAGAUUCAAUGCAUUUUCAAUGCUGCAGGUCUCAGCAGCACCACCCGUUCUGCAACCACAGACACUUUUGUCUUCCUUGUAACAGGCAGCAUAUUAAAUGGUUCUCUGGAUUCUCCAGUCAGUAGACUGACCACAAAUGGGUCAGUGGACUUAAGCAACCCCAACAGCACAGACGUUUCAGUAAUAACACCCAGUACAAAUGCCACUGCAUCUAAUACCACAGCAACAUCAACCACCACUGCAGCAUCUACAAACUUGACCCAGACGGUAUUUCCCAACAUAACCGCCAACCUGACCCAGACAAACCCUCCCAACAUUACCGCCAACCUGACCCAGACACACCCUCCCAACAUAACCGCCAACCUGACCCAGACACACCCUCCCAACAUAACCGCCAACCUGUCCCAGACAAACCCUCCCAACAUAACCGCCAACCUGACCCAGACAAACCCUCCCAACAUAACCGCCAACCUGACCCAGACAAACCCUCCCAACAUAACCGCCAACCUGACCCAGACAAACCCUCCCAACAUAACCGCCAACCUGACCCAGACAAACCCUCCCAACAUAACCGUCAACCUGACCCAGACACACCCUCCCAACAUAACCGCCAACCUGACCCAGACACACCCUCCCAACAUAACCGCCAACCUGACCCAGACACACCCUCCCAACAUAACCGCCAACCUGACCCAGACAAACCCUCCCAACAUAACCGCCAACCUGACCCAGACAAACCCUCCCAACAUAACCGCCAACCAGACUCAAACACGCCCUUCCACCGUGAUUGCUAACCUGACUGCGACACCAUCAGGCUCUAAUACCUUGAACAACAGCAACGUCAAUAAUCUAUCACUAGAUAUCACUGGCAGGGAUAACUGCAGGAGGGAUAGAGCAUGUUUCUCUGCUCCACCUACUUGUAAUCCAGGUGCACAAGAUUCCUGUUAUUUCCUAUCUGCAAAAGGAGUAAGCGGAAGUGCAGAUAAUUUUACCUUUGAACUCAGUGGCGAGUCAGAUGGUUACAUUGGAGCUGGCCUCUCUCGAGACAACAGUGGUCAAGGAGCCACUGUCUAUUCUUGCGCCAACAUCAAUGGUGCACUGAAGUUCUUCCGUUCCACACUGAACAAUCAAAGACUGGCUCAGGAUAACACUUUCAUCCCUGGAAGUUUCCGUGGUUCGGUGAAUAGAGGAAAGAUUCAGUGCAUUUUCAAUGCUGCAGGUCUCGGCAGCAUCACUCGUGCGGCAACCACAGACACUUAUGUCUUCUUUUUAACAGGCAGUGUCUCAAAUGGCUCUCUGGAUUCUCCAGUCACUAGACUGACUACAAAUGGGUCAGUGGACUUAAGCAACCCUAACAGCACAGAUGUUUCAGUAAUAACACCCAGUACAAAUGCCACCACAACAGCCCCGAACAUCACCACAUCUAGUUCCUCUUUAGCAUUAAACACCACUACAGCCCCGAACACCACCGCAUCUAAUUCCACUGCAUCCUCAAAUACUACUGCAUCAUCAAAUGCCACUGCAUCUAAUGCCUCUGGAUUAUCUACAGCUAAUAAUGUUACAACAAAUGAUAAGGUCACCAAGGACAACUGUAAAAAGGACAGGGCAUGUUUCUCCACUCCAGCCAACUGUGAUCCAUCAAGCUCAAGUAGCUGCAUUUUUGCCUCCACAAGAGUGGUGAACGGAAACUUAGACAAUCUCACUUUUGAGCUCAGUGGGGAUUCAAAUGGUUACAUCGCAGUUGGCCUGUCUCGAGACAAGAAGGAGGGUGAUGAUGACACUGUCUACUCUUGUGCCAAUGACAAUGGUGUGGCGAAGUUCAUUCGUGCCACUCUGAACAACAACAUUCUGACUCCAGAUAAGACUUUUAACCCUGGAUCCUUCCGUGGCUCUGUGAACGGCACAAGGAUUCAGUGCAUUUUUGUAGCUGCAGGUCUCAGCAGCAACGCCCGUGCGGCAAACACAAAUGCUUUCCUCUAUUUCUUCACUGGCAACUUUACAAAUGGCACUUUAGGGUCUCCAGUCACACGAAUGUUUACAAAUUCAUUGGUUGAUCUAACCAACACUAGCAGCUCAGACGUUGCCAUAAUAACACCCACUACAAGCACAGAUAAUACUACCACUAUUACGACUACUACAGCAAAACCUGCUACUACAGCAGGGAGCAAUGCACUGCAUCAUGCUGCAUCUCAGGCUGCUCUGGUAAUUCUCUCAGGGAUCCUUGCAGUGCUCCUGUUGUAAGGAUUCUGCCAACACAUUUGCUUUCUGAAACUGGUCGAUGAGCACUGAACGCUUGAUGAACCCAACACCAAAGUAUAUGUAAUUCAGCAUAUUUAUAACUGUGCAAUAAUGCGACUCUGGGAACAAUGAAGAAAGAAGCAGAAAAUAUGGGGAAGAGGGCAUUACAUUAUUUAUUUAAUCUUAGUGUUUGUGUGUGAGAGAUUGUGUUUAUGAAUGUUUUUGCGAGCGUUAGUGUUUGUAUUCUGCUAAUGUACUGCUAUUUAAAAUCAGGCUCCUGCACAGAGAGGGCUGAUGAAAAUUAAAAUCAGUAUAUUAAUAUAAUUGUGCAAGUGUGAGCCAUCAUGUGGCUAAAAUGAUCUAAGAUAAUUGUUUUCAAAUGUCUUAAUUUAUUGUUACUGUUGCCUCAAACCAUUGAUUUCCUGUAAGUUAUAAAUAUAGUCUUUUUUUUUUAAUAUGCAUAAUAAAAUGUUCAAGUAAAAAAAAUGAAACUGGUAGAUCAGUGUUUGGACUAAAGGUUAAAGUGGCAAAGAACAAACUAAAUGCAAACAGCAUGCAUAGUCAGGAUAGUAAAUUAGUGAAACACUUCCCAUAUUGUUGAUCAAAGUCUGCACAUGCAAUCAAGCACUACGGUUUUUCACAAGACAUUUGUGACACUUGGUAGAAGUCGAAUUAGACGCAACAUGGACAGGUUAUGUAGCAUUCUCAUGCACAAAAACUAUGAACAAAACCACCCACCAAUCAAACGUGUUUAUUUUUAAAUAAUUAAUCAUCUUAGUACUGUGUUGGGUCACCAAAUUGUGGACAGAUAAAGUGCUUAAUAUUCAAAUCACUUCAAAGGCAAUGCAAUAGAUUAAUGAUAUUUUAAAUCUGUUUGAUUUUUGUCUUUGCAUUACAAAAUGAUGCAGAAGCAACAAUCUGUUUUCUACUAACCUUUACUGAUUAAAAAAAUGGUGUAGAAACAAUUCUUACUAAGAAAUUGGUAGUAAAUUUUACAUUUAAUUAUGAAGUAACAGUGAAUUAAACAAUACAUUUUGAAGUAGAAAGACUGUAAUAGUAUUUUGUUUUUUACUCUUUUAAAAUUGUUUAACUUUAUUUUUUUUUUACAGUGUUCUAUUUUGAUAAGGAGUGUUUUGUACACGUUAUAAAAUAACUCAAAAUACAGAUGCUCUACAGAAGAGAAUAGGACAAUCAUAGUUUAAUACCAACAAACAUCUUAGAUUUACAUAUGGGUAGAUAUGUACUGAAGGCUUAAAUAUUCAAUUGUAAAUAUCCUUUAUUAUUCUUAUUUUGAUUUUGUUUUUGUCAAAUAUCUGAAUAUUUUAUCUUCUGAACACUUACAUUAAAAAUACACAAAGUACUUAAGUACUUGUACUGUAAAAACCUUUGUGGGUUAAUAAAUCCAAGUGGAUCAGCUUAAAAGUUUAUCAUCCAAAAAUAGUUUUUGGUCUGAUUAUAAACACUCACUGGUUCUUUUUAAUCCAUCAGCAUGUCACAUUUCAUUCAUCUCUAUCACGUGUCAUUUUCUUAGCUUCUUUCCAAAAAAAAAACCAACAACAACAACAAAAAAAAACAAAUAAAUGAAAAUAUUGACAUCCACAUUAUUUACAUAGGCAAAAGAACUGUACGUCUAGUCAAACAAACUGCACAAACAAGUGCAUCAGGGAAAAGAAAAACACUGAGCAGACAUUUCUAGUAAUAAGCAAGUAAGAAUUGUGGCAGAUUAAUGUUGGUGGAACUUAAACAUGAAAAAUAUAAAACACAUGAGGAGCUGUUGCUUUCAAAGCUCAAGAUGCCAGUACAGAUGCAAUCAUAGUGUGCUUCCUCACAUGUUCGUGCUCUUCUGAAUCAGCAAUUUGAGAACAUUUACAUUUACGUUUACAUUUACAUUCAUGUUCAUGGAUUUUGAAGAAAACUCAAUGAAUAAGAAAAACAAGUGACAUUCUAAGAAGUGAACAGCAGUAGAUGUAGAGGCAAAUGGCGAUCGAGGGGCAAAUAUUUACUACAUUGCUAUAUGAACAACUAAUGUGAAUAUUAACAUUUUAAAGAUCAUCAGAAACAGAUCUUCUCCUCGUGUCAGACCAGAUGCAGGACAGUGUUUGUGUGCUUUCAGGUAGUUUUGACAGGCAGCUUUCAUGCAUAAAACAACAAAAUGCAAAUGUCUGUAGACCUUGAGAUGUCCAGAAGAUGGGAAAGAACAGACAAAUUGAAAAAUGGCAAGUGCAACAAAAACUGGAGAAACUGUCAUGUGGACCACAUUUUUUUGUUAUUCCGGAGCUUGACAGCUUCAGUUUUCAUGUCAUACAAGUUAGAACGACAUGGAAUAACAACAGUUUAAGUAAAAAUGUGGUGCCACUGAAUUUGAAUACAAAAAUGAAUACAAAUGUAGUUCAGGAAGAUUGUCUCUCAGUUUUCUCUCAGGAGAGGACAGCUGACAAACAGUUUGGUGGAUUUUGCUAUUGCUGUUUACAUGUAAUAUUCAAUGUAAGCAUGUCAACAUGAACUUCAUCCUUUGACUUGAUUCAGAUAAAAGUGUCCGCCACAAUUUCAAUAGCUUUGACAUUUUGAUAUAAUUUAUCACUAAAAGUUGAAGUUACAAGUUAUCAUUAUUUUCAGUGAAAAUGUGUUUACUUGUUUUGUUACUAAAAGAUGCAAAAUACUGAUUUGUGUGUGUGUGUGUGUGUGUGUGUGUGUGUGUGUGUGUGUGUGUGUGUGUGUGUGUGUGUGUGUGUGUGUGUGUAAUUUUUUUCCAGCACCAGUCAGAGUGAAAAGUGGGAGGGGAAACAGGAUCAUGUGACUCUGAUGUAAAAUUAAACUAAUGUGUUUCUCCCAGGGACAACAUUCAUUCAAACUUACUCAAAUGAAAGCAGAAAGAAUCACGCACCACCUGAAAUGAACAUGAGGGACUUCUACAAGAGUAUGUGGUUUUUACUGGGUAAGUUAAACACAAUCUGUUUAAUAUCUUAAUGACCUUCAGUCUGCUUUCAGCUUCAUCUUUCAGAGAGAGAAACACUUAACAGAAGACCUUCAGUUAUAAUUGAAUGUGUUAUUCUUUUUUAAAUCUUAUCUAAAUACACUUAAACAAUAUACUUUUACUUGAGAAGCUAAUUACACAAGACAUUAAUACAUGAUUUUAGAAAUCGUACUGAAUUUUACCCAAUUGGCAAAUAUAUUUAAAGUAUAAAUCUAACAGAAUACAGGUUUAUAAUCAUAAGAAAAAUCCCUUUUAGUUGCAAAAUACUAAGAAUCAUUCUGUGUUUCUCAUUUUAAGGCUUUUUCUCAGUUCAAACGAAGGCAGAAAAAGAAG
ensembl:lncRNA